GGUGAACGCUGGCGGCGUGCUUAACACAUGCAAGUCGAACGGAAAGGCCCAAGCUUGCUUGGGUACUCGAGUGGCGAACGGGUGAGUAACACGUGGGUGAUCUGCCCUGCACUUCGGGAUAAGCCUGGGAAACUGGGUCUAAUACCGGAUAGGACCACAUUUUGGUUGGUGUGGUGGAAAGUUUUUCGGUGUGGGAUGAGCUCGCGGCCUAUCAGCUUGUUGGUGGGGUAAUGGCCUACCAAGGCGUCGACGGGUAGCCGGACUGAGAGGGUGUACGGCCACAUUGGGACAGGGAUGCGGCCCAGACGCCUACGGGAGGCAGCAGUGGGGAAUAGUGCACAAUGGGCGCAAGCCGGAUGCAGCGACGCCGGGUGGGGGAUGACGGCCUUCGGGUUGUAAACUCCUUUCGCGAGGGACGAAGCGCAAGUGACGGUACCUGGAGAAGAAGCACCGGCUAACUACGUG
rnacentral:rRNA from 1 species